UACAGAGGUCUCAAGCGUUGUUCGGAUUCAUUGGGCGUAAAGGGUGCGUAGGCGGCGCGGUAAGUCGGGUGUGAAAUCUCGGAGCUUAACUCCGAAACUGCAUUCGAUACUGUCGUGCUAGAGUGCGGAAGGGGCUACUGGAAUUCUCGGUGUAGCGGUGAAAUGCGUAGAUAUCGAGAGGAACACCUGCGGCGAAGGCGGGUAGCUGGGCCGACACUGACGCUGAUGCGCGAAAGCCAGGGGAGCGAACGGG
rnacentral:rRNA from 1 species